rnacentral:rRNA from 1 species
UACGUAGGGGGCAAGCGUUGUUCGGAAUUACUUGGGCGUAAAGGGCGCGUAGGCGGCGCUGCAAGUCAGGCGUGAAAUUCCUGGGCCUUAACCUGGGGGCUGCGCUUGAGACUGUGGUGCUAGAGGACGGAAGAGGGUCGUGGAAUUCCCCAGUGUGAGAGGUGAAAUUCGUAGAUAUUGGGAAGAACACCGGUGGCGAAGGCCGGCGACCUGGUCCGUUACCUGACGCUGAGGCG